rnacentral:misc_RNA from 1 species
GAUGAAGAACGUAGCGAAAUGCGAUAAGUAGUGUGAAUUGCAGAAUUCAGUGAAUCAUCGAAUCUUUGAACGCACAUUGCGCCCCAUGGUAUUCCGUGGGGCAUGCCUGUUCGAGCGUCAUUUACCCCCUCAAGCUCUGCUUGGUGUUGGGCGUCUGUCCCGCUUCGUGCGCGGACUCGCCCCAAAGAUAUUGGCAGCGGUCGUGCCAGCUUCUCGCGCAGCACAUUGCGCUUCUCGAGGCACCGGCGGGCCCGCGUCCAUCUAGCUCACCCCCCCAGUUUGACCUCGGAUCAGGUAGGGAUACCCGCUGAACUUAAGCAUAUCAAUAAGCGGAGGA